AAGUGCGAUCAUACCAGCACUAAUGCACCGGUUCUCGUUAGAACUCGGCAAUUGAGCGUGCUUGGGCGAGAGUAGUACUAGGAUGGGUGACCUUUUGGGAAGUCCUCCUAUCGCACCCC
rnacentral:rRNA from 1 species